GAGACACCCUAAUGGGACAGGACUUGCUUCAGUGGGGCUUUGGUGCUUACUGAGUCUGCCUCUGAGUGUGUCACU
rfam:Myotis brandtii contig271002, whole genome shotgun sequence.